rnacentral:rRNA from 1 species
CACGUAGGAGGCGAGCGUUGUCCGGAAUCAUUGGGCGUAAAGAGCGCGCAGGCGGCUUGGCAAGUCGGGUGUGAAAUCCCGGGGCUCAACCCCCGUGACUGCAUCCGAUACUGUCAGGCUAGAGGUAGGUAGGGGAGAUCGGAAUUCCUGGUGUAGCGGUGAAAUGCGCAGAUAUCAGGAGGAACGCCGGUGGCGAAGGCGGAUCUCUGGGCCUUACCUGACGCUCAGGCGCGAAGGCGUGGGGAGCGAACGGG